AGGGUUUGAUUCUGGCUCAGGAUGAACGCUGGCGGCGUGCCUAACACAUGCAAGUCGAACGGGGUUAUUUUGGAAAUCUCUUCGGAGAUGGAAUUCUUAACCUAGUGGCGGACGGGUGAGUAACGCGUGAGCAAUCUGCCUUUAGGAGGGGGAUAACAGUCGGAAACGGCUGCUAAUACCGCAUAAUACGUUUGGGAGGCAUCUCUUGAACGUCAAAGAUUUUAUCGCCUUUAGAUGAGCUCGCGUCUGAUUAGCUGGUUGGCGGGGUAACGGCCCACCAAGGCGACGAUCAGUAGCCGGACUGAGAGGUUGAACGGCCACAUUGGGACUGAGACACGGCCCAG
rnacentral:rRNA from 1 species